rnacentral:rRNA from 1 species
GUGGGGAAUAUUGCACAAUGGGCGAAAGCCUGAUGCAGCGACGCCGCGUGAGUGAGGAAGUAUUUCGGUAUGUAAAGCUCUAUCAGCAGGGAAGAAAGAAAUGACGGUACCUGAGUAAGAAGCUCCGGCUAAAUACGUGCCAGCAGCCGCGGUAAUACGUAUGGAGCAAGCGUUAUCCGGAUUUACUGGGUGUAAAGGGAGCGUAGGCGGCAGAGCAAGUCUGAUGUGAAAGCCCGGGGCUCAACCCCGGUAGCGCAUUGGAAACUGUUCAGCUCGAGUGUCGGAGGGGUAAGCGGAAUUCCUGGUGUAGCGGUGAAAUGCGUAGAUAUCAGGAAGAACACCGGAGGCGAAGGCGGCUUACUGGACGAUUACUGACGCUGAGGCUCGAAAGCGUGGGGAGCGAACAGGAUUAGAUACCCUGGUAGUCCACGCUGUAAACGAUGAAUACUAGGUGUCGGUACCCGAAGGGUAUCGGUGCCGUCGCAAACGCAUUAAGUAUUCCACCUGGGGAGUACGUUCGCAAGAAUG